rnacentral:lncRNA from 1 species
UGUUGGGUUUUAGCAGGUACAGGUAGGUGUCUCAUCCAUUUGGUUAACUUACAUAUUAAGUUUGGAUGGGAUUUCAGUUGAGACCGAUUGAUGGGUAUUUGAUCAGGUCUACAUACGAGAAAUUAUAUGUGAUAGAUAUAAAGAUGAAAUGCAUAAAAAGGAUGGGCACCAAUCUUUCUCAGAUUGGUUGAUCUCCUACCUAUCCCUUGUAGAUAUGAGGUAGGUGUCUCAUUUAUUUCAUCUCAGUGGAUCUCUAACUUGUAUGCUAGCUAACCAUGUAUAGGUUUUCAACUGAAGACGAUUGAUAUUGUUAUAAUUUUAUAUAAAGUGCA